UGGGGAAUAUUGCACAAUGGGCGCAAGCCUGAUGCAGCCAUGCCGCGUGUGUGAAGAAGGCCUUCGGGUUGUAAAGCACUUUCAGCGAGGAGGAAGGGUAGUGUGUUAAUAGCACAUUGCAUUGACGUUACUCGCAGAAGAAGCACCGGCUAACUCCGUGCCAGCAGCCGCGGUAAUACGGAGGGUGCAAGCGUUAAUCGGAAUUACUGGGCGUAAAGCGCACGCAGGCGGUUUGUUAAGUCAGAUGUGAAAUCCCCGCGCUUAACGUGGGAACUGCAUUUGAAACUGGCAAGCUAGAGUCUUGUAGAGGGGGGUAGAAUUCCAGGUGUAGCGGUGAAAUGCGUAGAGAUCUGGAGGAAUACCGGUGGCGGAGGCGGCCCCCUGGACAAAGACUGACGCUCAGGUGCGAAAGCGUGGGGAGCAAACA
rnacentral:rRNA from 1 species